rnacentral:rRNA from 1 species
AGUGAACGCUGGCGGUAGGCCUAACACAUGCGAGUCGAACGGCAGCACAGUAAGAGCUUGCUCUUACGGGUGGCGAGUGGCGGACGGGUGAGGAAUACAUCGGAAUCUACUUUUUCGUGGGGGAUAACGUAGGGAAACUUACGCUAAUACCGCAUACGACCUACGGGUGAAAGCAGGGGAUCUUCGGACCUUGCGCGAUUGAAUGAGCCGAUGUCGGAUUAGCUAGUUGGCGGGGUAAAGGCCCACCAAGGCGACGAUCCGUAGCUGGUCUGAGAGGAUGAUCAGCCACACUGGAACUGAGACACGGUCCAGACUCCUACGGGAGGCAGCAGUGGGGAAUAUUGGACAAUGGGCGCAAGCCUGAUCCAGCCAUACCGCGUGGGUGAAGAAGACCUUCGGGUUGUAAAGCCCUUUUGUUGGGAAAGAAAAGCAGCAGGUUAAUACCCCGCUGUUCUGACGGUACCCAAAGAAUAAGCACCGGCUAACUUCGUG